GAGUUUGAUCUUGGCUCAGGAUGAACGCUAGCGGCAGGCCUAACACAUGCAAGUCGAGGGGUAGAAGUUACUUGUAACUUUGAGACCGGCGCACGGGUGCGUAACGCGUAUGCAAUCUACCUUUUACAGAGGGAUAGCCCAGAGAAAUUUGGAUUAAUACCUCAUAGUAUUUUCGAAUGGCAUCAUUUGAUUAUUAAAGUUCCAACGGUAAAAGAUGAGCAUGCGUCCUAUUAGCUAGAUGGUAAGGUAACGGCUUACCAUGGCAACGAUAGGUAGGGGUCCUGAGAGGGAGAUCCCCCACACUGGUACUGAGACACGGACCAGACUCCUACGGGAGGCAGCAGUGAGGAAUAUUGGACAAUGGGCGCAAGCCUGAUCCAGCCAUGCCGCGUGGGUGAUGAACGGCCCUAGGGUUGUAAAGCCCUUUCGGCGGGGAAGAUAAUGACCGGUACCCGCAGAAGAAGCCCCGGCUAACUUCGUGCCAGCAGCCGCAGUAAC
rnacentral:rRNA from 1 species